rnacentral:rRNA from 1 species
GAUGAACGCUGACAGAAUGCUUAACACAUGCAAGUCUACUUGAACUUCGGUUUGGGUGGCGGACGGGUGAGUAACGCGUAAAGAACUUGCCUCACAGUUAGGGACAACAUUUGGAAACGAAUGCUAAUACCUGAUAUUAUGAUUUUAGGGCAUCCUAAGAUUAUGAAAGCUAUAUGCACUGUGAGAGAGCUUUGCGUCCCAUUAGCUAGUUGGAGAGGUAACGGCUCACCAAGGCGAUGAUGGGUAGCCGGCCUGAGAGGGUGAACGGCCACAAGGGGACUGAGACACGGCCCUUACUCCUACGGGAGGCAGCAGUGGGGAAUAUUGGACAAUGGACCAAAAGUCUGAUCCAGCAAUUCUGUGUGCACGAUGACGUUUUUCGGAAUGUAAAGUGCUUUCAGUUGGGAAGAAAAAAAUGACGGUACCAACAGAAGAAGAGACGGCUAAAUACGUG